rnacentral:rRNA from 1 species
AUGGCGCUUGUCCAUUUCUCUGGUUUGCUACGGCGCUUGUCCUCCAUGGUUUAUCAGGUAACUACAUUUGAAACUAAACGGAGGUGGGAUAGAAUACAAAAUCUGCAACACAUGAGUGCAGAACUUCGUCUCUGGAGAUCCAUGUCGAAACAAACAUUCAAUCGUCUCUUGCAGAAUGACAAGGCCGGGGAAGAAUACCUUCAGAUGAGGCUGACAACGGAAGGGAGGAAACUUGUGCAGAUCUCGAACCAGCAGGUAAUGGAGAUAAAGCUUUUGGAACGUCCACUCAUCUCUGCAUUGAUGAGAGAUUCAGGAUUGCGUCUGAGGGCAUCUCCAACUCUAGGUGCUAAGAGAGGGCGCCAGGAAAAUGAUCCUAGUCGAUUGGCAGUUACGGCAUCGAUUCCUUGCAUCGGGCGCCGCAGCGAUGCAAAACAAGGCAUCAAGUGCUAG